AGAAGCUCCACCCCUCGGCAGCUCCAGUCAGGCCCCAUCUAGGCCCUUCCAGAAGCAACCCAGGAGCCCCGAGACCUGCAGAGGUGUGUGCACCCUGACCCCUGACGCAUAGCCCUGCACCUGCAGCCAGCUGGCCUCAGGCUGCAAACAUGGCGGGGACUUACUGUCUUAUCAUCCCCUGGACUCAAGAUGAGGGUGCUAGGACGCCCUCCCACACCACCCCAUCUUGCCCAGGGGCACACCUCAGGCCCUGAGGAAUCACCGAAUGAAAGGGGUUUUUACAAACAGGAAACUUAAGUGGAGUGCCAAUACACAACAUGGAUUGCACCAGGCUAGGUCUAAGAUAAAACAAGACUGUGGACAACUGGACAGAUAAGACCCACAUGACUCUGCACUGCCUGGGUCUCUUAUUGUGUGGAGGAAUGUCUUAGUCUGUGGCUCCUGUGGGUGUAGCUAAAGCACGAACCAGGAGUCUUCAUCCUUAGAAAGCAAUUAGACAGACACCUCAGAACCAAUCCCAUACUGCAGCCUUCCACAGAACCUUCUGAAACCUUCUGGAAUGUAACUCAUUACUGCCAGAGGGUCUUUGAUGAGAGUCUACUCUCCACCAUUUUUCUUCAAAGAGAAUACCCACAUAUUCUCUUUCCAUGGAAAGGCUUGGAAAUCUAGUGUAUAUUUUACACUAACAGCAUAUCUCAAUU
rnacentral:lncRNA from 1 species